rnacentral:rRNA from 2 species
GGAAAGUGGCAGACGGGUGAGUAACGCGUGGGAACGUGCCUUUCGGUUCGGGAUAACCCAGGGAAACUUGGGCUAAUACCGGAUACGCCCUUCGGGGGAAAGAUUCAUUGCCGAAAGAUCGGCCCGCGUCGGAUUAGCUAGUUGGUGGGGUAAAAGCCUACCAAGGCGACGAUCCGUAGCUGGUCUGAGAGGAUGACCAGCCACACUGGGACUGAGACACGGCCCAGACUCCUACGGGAGGCAGCAGUGGGGAAUAUUGGACAAUGGGCGCAAGCCUGAUCCAGCCAUGCCGCGUGGGUGAAGAAGGCCCUAGGGUUGUAAACCCCUUUCAGCGGGGAAGAUAAUGACGGUACCCGCAGAAGAAGCCCCGGCUAACUCCGUGCCAGCAGCCGCGGUAAUACGGAGGGGGCUAGCGUUGUUCGGAAUUACUGGGCGUAAAGCGCGCGUAGGCGGACCUGCGAGUCGGGGGUGAAAGCCCGAGACUCAACCUCGGAACUGCCUUCGAUA